UAACCAUGUGCCUCUCUACUCCUCCA
rnacentral:piRNA from 1 species